CGCUCGUAGUUGAACUUCAAGGGUAUUAUUAUUUUAAGUAACUCACUUGGCGAGAAUCUUGGCUCCGCCUCGAUAUCUUCAUGCCUUGUUGUAGUUCUUUUAAUUACAGACCCUUUGAGAGCCCAAUGAUUUAUCACUGGGUUUCUCGUUACUUUGAGUAAAUUAGAGUGUUCAAAGCAAACAGUUAAAGCGUUUUCGCGUUUGAAUACUAUAGCAUGGAAUAACAAAAUUGAACAAGUCAAAUUUUUUGUUCUUUUUUCUUAUUUUGGCUUAGUUACGAUUAAUAGGAGUAGCUUGGGGGCAUUUGUAUUCAGAUGUCAGAGGUGAAAUUCUUAGAUUUUCUGGAGACAAACAACUGCGAAAGCAUUUGCCUAAAAUACUUCCAUUAAUCAAGAACGAAAGUUAAGGGAGUGAAGACGAUCAGAUACCGUCGUAAUCUUAACCAUAAACUAUGCCGACUAGGUUUUGGAUGAAAAUUUUUAAAUAAGAUUUCCCUUCGGGGAUUUCUUAGAUUGCUUCCUUCAGUACCUUAUGAGAAAUCAAAGUCUUUGGGUUCUGGGGCGAGUAUUCGCGCAAGCGAGAAAGUUAAAAGAAUUGACGGAAGGGCACCACCAGGCGUGGAGCUUGCGGCUUAAUUUGACUCAACACGGGGAAACUCACUAGUUUAAGACAAGAGUAGGAUUGACAGAUUAAUAGCUCUUUCUUGAUUUCUUGGAUGGUGAUGCAUGGCCGUUUUUAGUUCGUGAAUAUGAUUUGUCUGGUUAAUUCCGAUAACGAACGAGAUCUUAACCUGCUAAUUAGCGGCGAGUACUCUAUAUCCUUUAUUGGGAGAUUGGUUUUGACGUUUAUGUGGGCAUAUUGAUUAAUCAAUUGGUUUACCUUUUGCUCUUUUUCAUUAUGAUUCUUGCGUUUACGACAUGCCUUUUUUCUAGUAAGGAUGUAUUCGCUUUAUUUAAUGCUUCUUAGAGGAACGAUGUGUGUCUAACACAAGGAAGUUUAAGGCAACAACAGGUCUGUGAUGUCCUUAGAUAUACUAGGCUGCACGCGUGCUACACUGAUAUGUAAAACGAGUGCUUAAAUUUAUAUCUGUGCUUAGGUGUUAAAGCCUAUGUUUCAGUAUAUAUUUUUCCUCCACUGAAAAGUGUAGGUAAUCUUUAUCAAUACAUAUCGUGAUGGGGAUAGAUUAUUGCAAUUAUUAAUC
rnacentral:rRNA from 1 species